GACGCCUGUGAAUGAAUACACACCAGCAUGCCCCAAUGCAACAGCCUUCACAGUGCCGGAGACUGCAGCUUUCGGCACUGCUGUGGGGCGCAUUGCUGGCACCGACCGCGACUACCCACCAGACAGCAUCAAGUACAGUCUCGAAGGGGGCCUGGGCUCUGCCCAACCCUUCUCCAUCGAUGCACAUACUGGCAAGAUCUAUGUGGUGGGGCCCCUGGACUAUGAGCGGCAGAAGAGCUACAGGUUGACAGUGAGGCUAACGGACACCCACAACGAUCUGGACCCGGCAAACCAGCGGAGCUGCCUGUGUGAUGUGGCCGUGCACCUGCAGGCCAUGCUCAACAAGGCGCCGGAGUGCACCCCUGAGGUGCAGGAACUGCGGAUCACAUCCAAGCCAGCCACCCGCCAGCCUAUCACCCGCCUAGCAUGCCAGGGCAGCCGUGGUGGUGCCACACUGUCCUAUGCCAUCAUCAGAGGUGAGGAGCGGCUGAUCUGCUGCAUAGCCCAGCCUCUCACUGUGGCCUGGGCCCUCAGCAGACCCUCUUGUCCAGGCAAUGAGGACAGGCAUUUUCGGCUGGAGGGGAACACCCUUUUCCAUGUCCCCAAUGGCCUUGCCGAGCCCCGAACCUUUGUGCUGCUGGUGGAGGUGUGGGGCAGCCCUAGUGUCCCCCGCCGCAGCACCACAGUGAUGCUGAUGGUGCAUGUCAUCCCCCGGACCACCAUGGUGCCGCCCAGGACCACUGCCCAACACACGACACUGUGGAAGGAGCCACUGGUCAUCACACGGACAGAGGCGACCUGG
rnacentral:lncRNA from 1 species